rnacentral:tRNA from 1 species
GCCCAGGUGGCGGAAUUGGUAGACGCGCUAGGUUGAGGGCCUAGUGCCUGUUUUAAGGCGUGCUGGUUCGAUUCCAGUCCUGGGCA